rnacentral:rRNA from 2 species
ACGGGUGAGUAACGCGUGGGUAACCUGCCUUAUACAGGGGGAUAACAGUCAGAAAUGGCUGCUAAUACCGCAUAAGCGCACAGAGCUGCAUGGCUCAGUGUGAAAAACUCCGGUGGUAUAAGAUGGACCCGCGUUGGAUUAGCUUGUUGGUGGGGUAACGGCCCACCAAGGCGACGAUCCAUAGCCGGCCUGAGAGGGUGAACGGCCACAUUGGGACUGACACACGGCCCAGACUCCUACGGGAGGCAGCAGUGGGGAAUAUUGCACAAUGGGGGAAACCCUGAUGCAGCGACGCCGCGUGAAGGAAGAAGUAUCUCGGUAUGUAAACUUCUAUCAGCAGGGAAGAUAGUGACGGUACCUGACUAAGAAGCCCCGGCUAACUACGUGCCAGCAGCCGCGGUAAUACGUAGGGGGCAAGCGUUAUCCGGAUUUACUGGGUGUAAAGGGAGCGCAGGCGGGAAGACAAGUUGGAAGUGAAAUCUAUGGGCUCAACCCAUAAACGGCUUUCAAAACUGUUUUUCUUGAGUAGUGCAGAGGUAGGUGGAAUUCCCGGUGUAGCGGUGGAAUGCGUAGAUAUCGGGAGGAACACCAGUGACGAAGGCGACCUACUGGGCACCAACUGACGCUGAGGCUCGAAAGCAUGGGUAGCAAACAGGAUUAGAUACCCUGGUAGUCCAUGCCGUAA